rnacentral:rRNA from 1 species
CUAGUACGAGAGGACCGGAGUGGACGAACCGCUAGUGUACCUGUUGUGUGGUCGCAUGCAUCGCAGGGUAGCUAUGUUCGGAAGUGAUAAGCCGCUGAACGCAUCUAAGCGCGAAGCACGCUCCAAGAUAAGUAUUCCCUAUGAGCCUCCCGGAAGACGACCGGGUAGAUAGGCGGCAGGUGUACGCAUGGUGACAUGUUUAGCCGAGCCGUACUAAUUAGGCCAUUGGCUUUG